rnacentral:rRNA from 1 species
AGAGUUUGAUCCUGGCUCAGAACGAACGCUGGCGGCGUGGAUAAGACAUGCAAGUCGAGCGAGAUUUUUUCUUGUAGCAAUACAGGGAAAAGUCUAGCGGCGAACGGGUGCUUAACACGUGGGCAACCUGCCGUGAAGUGGGGGAUAGCUCGCCGAAAGGCGAAUUAAUACCGCAUGUGAUUAGAGAGGACAUCCUUUCGAAAUUAAAGUCGGGGCAACCUGACGCUUCUUGUGGGGCCCGCGGCCUAUCAGCUAGUUGGUGAGGUAACGGCUCACCAAGGCUUUGACGGGUAGCUGGUCUGAGAGGACGACCAGCCACACUGGGACUGAGACACGGCCCAGACACCUACGGGUGGCAGCAGUCGAGAAUUUUUGACAAUGGGGGAAACCCUGAUCGAGCGACGCCGCGUGGAGGAUGAAGGUCUUCGGAUUGUAAACUCCUGUCAUUGGGGAACAAGGUGCAUACGUUAACUGCGUGUGUAUUGAUAGUACCCGAAGAGGAAGGGACGGCUAACUCUGUGCCAGCAGCCGCGGUAAUACAGAGGUCCCAAGCGUUGUUCGGAUUCAUUGGGCGUAAAGGGUGCGUAGGCGGCGCGGUAAGUCGGGUGUGAAAUCUCGGAGCUUAACUCCGAAACUGCAUUCGAUACUGCCGUGCUUGAGGACUGGAGAGGAGACUGGAAUUUACGGUGUAGCGGUGAAAUGCGUAGAUAUCGUAAGGAAGACCAGUGGCGAAGGCGGGUCUCUGGACAGUUCCUGACGCUGAGGCACGAAGGCCAGGGGAGCAAACGGGAUUAGAUACCCCGGUAGUCC